CUGAUUUCCGAAUUAUUCAGUCAGGUUAUAUAAAGUUAUGUGUGUUUAGAGAUGAAGCAAAGAGAUGGAGUAAUAGAUUCUCGAAUCUUUUGAUUGUUUUCUUACUUUAUACCACCAAAACAAAAUUGACAUUGGAGACGUAUCCGUAGAUGUACAUGUAUGCAUACAUAUACACGUGGUUAUUUCAUCACUAAUUAAUAUAUGGGCAGAGAAAAAUGCCUUGGAAAAACAAAUAGAUGAAAUUGACAACAAUCAAUAGUAGUAUGUUAUGGAUGAAAGAAAGAAAAGAGAGUAACCCACAACGAUGUAACUUUUUCAGUGUAAUAAAAAAGCAGUUUGACGACAAAAAAAAAGGGUUAACAAUUGUUGGAUUAUUGCAUGAUGACACGUGUUAGUGUUGCGAGUGUGAAGCGUAUCACGGUGGAAUGAGGUGUGACAUCAUUUGAACGGUUGAUAACUAACCACUAACCACAAUCGUAUCACUUUUUUUCUUUUUGUUAAUCAUAGUAUUUGAUUGAUUGAUUUAUAAUUCUGUGUAUUUUUUGACGUUAAAACUAAGGUGUAUGAGAGAUUUUUAAAAGUGUACAGUUUCGUGUUUACUAUUCUCUGCGAUGUCGAUUGCCGAUUCUAGUAGGUUUUUUUUCCGGCAAACCAAAUCUCAAUCAAGCAAAGUGUCCAUGGUACGAU